ACACACAGAUCCUGGCUCCAGGAAUGAACUGGAGAGAAAAUGAAGCUGUAUUUUUUGCACGAGAGUACAGACAGAUUAACAGAGAGAGCUCUUCCUUUGCCAUGCAUUGGUAGCUCAGGUGCAGAAGCUCCAAAACCAUGCAACAGGGCACGAGGUGCAAAUGCAGCUCCAGUAAAAUGCGCGUCAGCAAUACAGGAGUGAGGUCCCCACCGUCAUCCAACAUCAAGUCUGUGAAUGUUACUGGUCUUUGGAUGCCAUCAUGGCACUCUUGGAGGAAUUUCUGGACUCAUUCCUGUGACAACUUCAGAGAAGAAAUCUGGGCUCUGCAAAGACCUGAGUUACAUCCUCUGACGGCAACAUCACAGGGAUCAAAUUCAAUCAAGGGAACCCAAAUAACCUAUUUUUAUUCUUGCAACUUCUGGUAAAUUUUAUUUCUGUGACUUGAGGUGAUUAUUUUUCCCUUUUGAUACCAUUUUCAGUGCAUGCCCUUCAUUUCCCCUGUGGAGCCAGCCCAAAUGUCACAGAGACUAUUAAUGGUGUAUACUUAACACACAUACUCACAGUAUGUUCAUUCUCAGGAAGACUAAACAUUAUUGAAAGGUUACAGCAUUUAUUUUGAUGUGUGUCUGUUUAACCAAUUCUAGCAAAUGUUACACAAACACAAAAUGGGCUUUCCUUCCCUGUUCCUCACCAGCCAUCCCAAGCCAUUGAUUUUUAAACAGAAAUCCUUUCUCAAAUCAAUGAGGAAUUUAAAACCUGAUGUCACAUGGAGCAUGGAGACGGUUCAAAUGUACAACAAACAAAUAUGUAAAGAAGAAAGAAAUAUUUCAUCCUUUCUCCCUGUAGCCGUACUGAAGCCCGUUAACAGCUUCAAGCUCACCAGUUUCUACCAGCUUCUGGCUGAUUUCAGGGGCCACGUCUCCAGCAGCAAUAUUAGGAAGAACCAGAAGUUUGGUUUCUCACUGUUUUGAUUCUCAUUUAAUGGACGACAUUUGGAUGGACUUCCUGUGAUUCCUAAGGAUUUUAUUGGGACUGAGCAUAACAGUCAAUAAAUGGAGCCCUUCUUGUGGCUGUUCUGAGCACGGAGAAAACAACAAACUUGUAAAACAUGAGUUAGAAUUUAAAUUUGCACAAUAUCCCAGCUGCAGUUUGAAGUGGACCUAACACUAUGCAUUCAUCCUCAUCAGCCAUCACUCAACGGCAAAAGUGGGAUUAAUCAUCUCCACUACAGCUACUAGCAUUAUUGAUUAUGUGUUAUUUCUAGAGAGUUAAACCCUUAGGGCAAAAACAAAAACAAACAAACAAACAAAAACCAAACCAAAACAACCAACAAAACAAUAACAAAACAAAAAUAAUGCCAACACAGAAAAACCUAAAGCAAACAAGCCUUUCCCUGCUCUUGAAAGGCAACUCUGCGUAAAAUCACAGAGAUUUAUUGCUAGGGAAGCCCCACCACACACCUUAGUUGACAUCAAAGAGUCAAGGGCAUAUGAGGCCACAAUCAAGUCAGGCAGCUUCUUCCACCUUGUUUUUUCAUUACCUCAUAAGUUCCUUUGCACAAUACAUCCAGUGCCAUCAAAACACUGUGCAAGCAUGAACACUGUUCACACAGAGCCAGAAUCAUAUAGCAGUAGCAGCUACUAUUUGGAGUAUUAGCAAAGCUAAUGAAUCCCCAGCCCAAAAAUACAGCCUUACACAGUCAGACACCAAUCAAAUUCAGCAUCUUGUCUUUACGCUGUGAGAAAUUAGACUGACUGGGCUCCUUAUCCAAAAUGUCAAACACGAUAAUAAAGUCAGGAGAGAAGGCUGUCCUUUCCUCGAGCACUUUGCUGCUCUGACACCUUGUCCUCAGACACUAAGCUGCCCUUUUGUCAGGAGCUCAUCAUCAAAGCCACCCCCCACUGCCCUGCUCCCCACAUACCUUCCCACUGCUGGCAGUAUGGCACCUGCUCAGGCUCUGCCCACCUGGGGAAGCUGGAGCAGCGAGGAGAUUUGUAGCCUUGGGCAGCUAGAAAGUGGUGUCAGAGCCUGUGGAGGCCUCUUAAUUGCUCCCAGGGAGCCCUGUAAUCCUACCUGUGUCUUCUCCAAAUGGAGCAAUGUAGAAUCUUGGGGGAUGUUAUGGGGUGAAGGAGCAGCCUGGAGUUAGGGCAGUAGAAGCAGAAUAAGACAGCAGUCCAUUUUCCAUCCCAGGCACUCUUCCUGCUCGCUGCAGUGUCCUUGUGUUCACGCCCGUCCCAGUCAGACUGGGCAGCUCUUGGUGCACUGCCUCCAGCGGAGCAGCCUUGGAAGAGGGAAGGAGAGAGACGUCAUGCCUCGUCUGGAGACAGCAAACCUUGGUCCUCAGGAGAUGACCUUGAAUAGAAAUGCCCUUCUCAGGGCAGACAGCCCAGUGAUGCUAUGGAAGGGAGCUUAGCAGCACUAGCACAAAUAGCCAUUGGCAUUUUCCUAUUGCCAAGACCGCAGCCUUGAAAAUGAGUAAAUAAAAUAGAAACCUUAGACUGGGCAACAUCUUCAUUCCUUAGCCAACUGUGAGGAGUAACGGAGAAGGUUGCACCCUCUGCUACCAGAGAAGAGGGCCACUGGGGCAGUGGAUUUACCACUUCCACCUGGAACCAUUAUUUCAUGUGAUUUUUUGCAGGAUGGUCAUCCCCACGGUGCCAAGGCCCUCUGGGAACACAGCAGACCAGUUGGGGGGACAGCAGGGUUCACAAUGACUUGUUCCUACCAUGGCAUCCCACCUUGUCCCUGUGCAACAAGGACACCUGGGGGUGACCUAUGAGGACACCUCAAGCAAAAAAAAUCCUGCCUUUCUCUCACCUCAGAGGAUGAAUGAACCAUCAAGCACAAAAACAUAAACCCAGCUGGAAAGAAACAGGAACUAUUCCCAAACACGAUACGAAAGCUCUUACUCAAAGUAUAAAAGUAAAUAUUUUCAUAAUUCAUUUUUCAAUUUCAUGCCACCUCUGCAAUAAUUAUUUGCGGCGAAGAUUCUGCCUGCCAAAAUGUUAGAGAACGCCACCAACACAGCCAGAGACAUCUUUGGGAGGAAACUCACACAGCAGCCCCACAGCCACGAGAUGCAAUGGAUGCAGAUGUUCCUGGAGACGGGCAGCCAGGGCACGGCAUGGACCCUUCUCCAGGGCACAUCCCAGCCACUCCAAUGGCCCUCCACUGUGCCUCCUGCUUGCAGCAGGGCUGGCAGCAGGGGAAUUUGCCCAAUAUUCAGACAAAACAGGGCCCUACGGGGUGCUGCGAGGCUGGACGUGCGCAGAACUAUUUCGGCAGAGGACUCAAACAGCUGCAUAGUUUCUGACCAUCUCAGCACAACAACCCCAUGUCAAUACGCGGAGAGGAAUGCGGAGACCUCAACGGUGCCUCUCGACACCCAUCUGUUUUUUAGAGUCAACUUCCCUGAACUCCUCUGCAAACUAUUAGCACGCCGAACGUCCAGUUGAGGGCUAUGUUUUGUGUGUGUGCUUUAAUUCCAAAGUAAACUCUUCUGCCUCGAGAAACAUGCUACACAAUAAACUAAUUUGAGCUGAGCUUAGUUUAAUC